AUAUCGUCAUUACUUAUUCUCAAUGGAAAGACGACAAAUUCAAAUUCUACCAUACCAAUAAGUACCAUUGAGAAAUAUAUGUGUUGUAUCAAGUCAGAUGAACCUUUAGCUAAAUUAAUUGUUAAGUCAACAUUUAUUAUUUGGGACAAAACUCCUACCAUUCAUAACUAUUUCUUUGAAGUUGUUGAUAAGUCUUUUAGGAAUAUAGUUAGAAUCUAUAUUUCAAGAAGUUUGAAUCUUUCUUUUGAAAAAAAUAUUGUUGUCUUAAAUGGUGAUUUCAGAAAAAGAGGUCUUAUAUGUGCAUUCUCAAACGGGGUCUUAUAUGUAAAUAUUGGUAUUGGCACAUUUAUCAAGUUUAAAUUGUAG